AGCGAACGCUGGCGGCAGGCUUAACACAUGCAAGUCGAGCGGGCGUAGCAAUACGUCAGCGGCAGACGGGUGAGUAACGCGUGGGAACGUACCUUUUGGUUCGGAACAACACAGGGAAACUUGUGCUAAUACCGGAUAAGCCCUUACGGGGAAAGAUUUAUCGCCGAAAGAUCGGCCCGCGUCUGAUUAGCUAGUUGGUGAGGUAACGGCUCACCAAGGCGACGAUCUGUAGCUGGUCUGAGAGGAUGAUCAGCCACAUUGGGACUGAGACACGGCCCAAACUCCUACGGGAGGCAGCAGUGGGGAAUAUUGGACAAUGGGCGCAAGCCUGUUCCAGCCAUGCCGCGUGAGUGAUGAAGGCCCUAGGGUUGUAAAGCUCUUUUGUGCGGGAAGAUAAUGUCGGUACCGCAAGAAUAAGCCCCGGCUAACUUCGUGCCAGCCGCCGCAGUAA
rnacentral:rRNA from 1 species